rnacentral:lncRNA from 1 species
GAACUACAAGAACACCUUCAAACCAAAAAUCAUGAAAACAAUCUUCCUCGUGGUGAUGUUCGUGUGCCUGCUGGCUCUCAUGGCCCAAGGAGCUCCCCAGUUGAUCAUCACUCGCAAAAGACACUUCCCAGGCGAGCGAAGACUUGGAAGCACUAACUAUGGCCAGUACAGCUUCGGCAAGAGGGGAUAUUCAAGGAGAACUAAUCCCGCAAAGAGAGAACACUAAAGCACCAAAGGACACUAAAGGAAACCCCCUUACAGGAUGGACCAUGAGGGCUUCUAUGACCUAAGUUAUACAUCGUUCUUGGUUCUAACCUUAAAAUGC